GUCAACUACCCCGCCUAAGUCCUAGCGGACUAUAGACGGGGCUUGGAAAGACUACUACAGCUUUUCGAGCCUGGUUGAUUAGCCUAAGUGCUUCGAGCACUACGUUGCUGCUGUGCUACGUCUGGAUGCUCCACAAGUCCAGACCUCU
rnacentral:sRNA from 1 species